CUUGAGAUUUUCGACUUGAUCUCCCAUGAAAUAAAGCAUUCAUAUCUAUAAUGUCAAUUUUGUGUUUGUUGCAAAAUAAACAAACUUCAUCAAGUAGUUUCUCCCAUCCCUCAUCUCUCAUAACCUUCAAUAGUUGCUUAGACACUUUAACUAAUUCCAUAGCAUUUACAAUAUCUUGAUCCUUUCUUUGCAAUGCUUGUGAUAAUUCAUUUGUAAUUCCC
rnacentral:lncRNA from 1 species